UUUUACCUCAUCAAACCAGCAACGGUUCAGAAGAGCUUCCACAACGGAAUCCAGACUGCACAGUUUGUGAGUAAAUGAACUAAGGACCCUGAAGGAUAAAAAGUGGACCAGCUCUCACUGGCAGUAGUUGAGGAACAUAGGAGCUUCUGCAGUUAUCCCAGCUGGCAGACAUUACAAAGGCAUGGCUGUGGAAGGAGAGGCUCAAGUAUUGGACUGGCCUCCUAGAGAGAAUGUGUGGAGAAUUUUGAAAGAAAUAUGUGAUUAUGACAACUCUGUAAUGUUUUCAGGAAGAAUGGCACAAAACACUUCAUUGCUAGGUACUCAUGGUACCAAAACAUUUUUGUGUUGAGACAGAAUGGCAACAUACAAAGUGGUAAAUGCUUUACCAUCCAAACUUUUUUGGAACGUGUUGCAGCCCUGAAAUGCAGGAAUUGAUGUUUACUAACACAUGAAAUAAAGCU